UACAAGGGGAGCUAGCGUUGUUCGGAAUUACUGGGCGUAAAGGGCGUGUAGGCGGUACCGUAAGUCAGAUGUGAAAGCCCCAGGCUUAACCUGGGAGGUGCAUUUGAUACUGCGGAACUAGAGAUCGAGAGAGGAAAGUGGAAUUACGAGUGUAGAGGUGAAAUUCGUAGAUAUUCGUAAGAACACCAGUGGCGAAGGCGGCUUUCUGGCUCGAUACUGACGCUAAGGCGCGAAAGCGUGGGGAGCAAACAGG
rnacentral:rRNA from 1 species